rnacentral:sRNA from 1 species
UAGUAUUGUAUGGUGCUCGCCUACCAAC